UAUAUUUGAGAGUUUGAUCCUGGCUCAGGAUGAACGCUGGCGGCGUGCCUAACACAUGCAAGUCGAGCGAACCCUUCGGGGUGAGCGGCGGACGGGUGAGUAACGCGUGGGUAACCUGCCCUGUACACACGGAUAACAUACCGAAAGGUAUGCUAAUACGGGAUAACAUAUGAGAGUCGCAUGGCUUUUGUAUCAAAGCUCCGGCGGUACAGGAUGGACCCGCGUCUGAUUAGCUAGUUGGUAAGGUAACGGCUUACCAAGGCAACGAUCAGUAGCCGACCUGAGAGGGUGAUCGGCCACAUUGGAACUGAGACACGGUCCAAACUCCUACGGGAGGCAGCAGUGGGGAAUAUUGCACAAUGGGCGAAAGCCUGAUGCAGCAACGCCGCGUGAGCGAUGAAGGCCUUCGGGUCGUAAAGCUCUGUCCUCAAGGAAGAUAAUGACGGUACUUGAGGAGGAAGCCCCGGCUAACUACGUGCCAGCAGCCGCGGUAAUACGUAGGGGGCUAGCGUUAUCCGGAAUUACUGGGCGUAAAGGGUGCGUAGGCGGUCUUUCAAGCCAGAAGUGAAAGGCUACGGCUCAACCGUAGUAAGCUUUUGGAACUGUAGGACUUGAGUGCAGGAGAGGAGAGUGGAAUUCCUAGUGUAGCGGUGAAAUGCGUAGAUAUUAGGAGGAACACCAGUAGCGAAGGCGGCUCUCUGGACUGUAACUGACGCUGAGGCACGAAAGCGUGGGGAGCAAACAGGAUUAGAUACCCUGGUAGUCCACGCCGUAAACGAUGAGUACUAGGUGUCGGGGGUUACCCCCCUCGGUGCCGCAGCUAACGCAUUAAGUACUCCGCCUGGGAAGUACGCUCGCAAGACUGAAACUCAAAGGAAUUGACGGGGGCCCGCACAAGCAGCGGAGCAUGUGGUUUAAUUCGAAGCAACGCGAAGAACCUUACCUAAGCUUGACAUCCCAUUGACCUCUCCCUAAUCGGAGAUUUCCCUUCGGGGACAGUGGUGACAGGUGGUGCAUGGUUGUCGUCAGCUCGUGUCGUGAGAUGUUGGGUUAAGUCCCGCAACGAGCGCAACCCUUGCCUUUAGUUGCCAGCAUUAAGUUGGGCACUCUAGAGGGACUGCCGAGGAUAACUCGGAGGAAGGUGGGGAUGACGUCAAAUCAUCAUGCCCCUUAUGCUUAGGGCUACACACGUGCUACAAUGGGUGGUACAGAGGGUUGCCAAGCCGUGAGGUGGAGCUAAUCCCUUAAAGCCAUUCUCAGUUCGGAUUGUAGGCUGAAACUCGCCUACAUGAAGCUGGAGUUACUAGUAAUCGCAGAUCAGAAUGCUGCGGUGAAUGCGUUCCCGGGUCUUGUACACACCGCCCGUCACACCAUGGGAGUUGGGGGCGCCCGAAGCCGGUUAGCUAACCUUUUAGGAAGCGGCCGUCGAAGGUGAAACCAAUGACUGGGGUGAAGUCGUAACAAGGUAGCCGUAUCGGAAGGUGCGGCUGGAUCACCUCCUUUCUA
rnacentral:rRNA from 1 species